rnacentral:misc_RNA from 1 species
AAGUCGUAACAAGGUUUCCGUAGGUGAACCUGCGGAAGGAUCAUUAGAAAGUCUGUUCGCCGUGGAGACGCGCGCGAACCUACCUUCAAAACCACUGUGAAACCACUUGUUGCUUCGCGGCACGUCCUCCGCCCCGGCGGAAGGGCAGUCAUCGCACGAAGCCAAACCAAAAAGCAAUUCUUUGUAACAGUCUGUCUGAGAAAAAAAUCUGAAUUAAAACUUCGUUAAAAC